GCCGAGGUAGCUUAGCGGACUAAAGCGCCGGCCUUGAGAGCCGGUGUCUCUUACGAGACUCAGGGGUUCAAAUCCCUUCCUCGGCG
rnacentral:tRNA from 1 species